rnacentral:rRNA from 1 species
GAUCCUGGCUCAGAUUGAACGCUGGCGGCAGGCCUAACACAUGCAAGUCGAGCGGAUGAAGAGAGCUUGCUCUCUGAUUCAGCGGCGGACGGGUGAGUAAUGCCUAGGAAUCUGCCUGAUAGUGGGGGACAACGUUUCGAAAGGAACGCUAAUACCGCAUACGUCCUACGGGAGAAAGCGAGGGACCUCGGCCUUGCGCUAUCAGAUGAGCCUAGGUCGGAUUAGCUUAGG